UACAAAUUGGAUCCUACAUUUAGGAAGAAGGAUGGCUGUAUCUGCCUUUUUGACUCUGAGGAUGCCAAGAAGGUCAAGACGGAGAUCGGCCAUGGACCAGAGCUCUUUCAUCAGAUGAGGUGAAAGAGUCUGCAAGGGAAGCUGUUGAGCAUAAAGGUGGGGACCCCAACAACGAGGAGCAUGUUCUUGGCCAGCAUAAAUUACAGUUUGGGCUCUUCAGGGAUAAAACAUUUAAAUGGCUGGCUGAGAACGCUCUGGGGUAUGCUGGCUAUGUGGUGGCAUCCAUGUCGGUGGAGUCAGGUCGCUCUGAUUCAACCAACAAUCUCAUAAACAAGACACUUUUGGAGAAGUAAAUCUCUGUUUCCUGCUGGCCGCUAUGCCAUUCGGGUGAAGAAGGACGCACUGAGCUCCAAACUUCCAAGCCGACCUGCCACUACAGCUUCUGCCUCUACACAGGCCGCCUCCACAUCCCCAACAGCCUUCAACCUCCUUGCAGGCUGCUGUCAAUGUAGCACCCGCCUUCUCUCCACGAUCAUCCGUAGUGCCUGCAUCCUCCCUACGCGGCCUGUUGUCAAGGAGAGACCAGUCUCCCCAGGCUAUCUCCAAAAAUGUAAAGAGCCUCUUCACAAAACCAAGGUUUCAGCCAUCUAUUCCUGCCCUGCCACGCGCUGGAUCCAUUAAAACGGAACCAACUGACAGCGAGCUCAUGCAGGCUGCCGCAGAAGUUGACCCCGACACAUCGCAGAGCAGAAUUUGCCUCCCCGCUGGUUGGAUCCCCGCCCUGCCAGAGGUUGACCAGCACUGGAUCUCGAAGGCUCUGUUCCGGUGGUCACCCUCUGGUCAACCAGAGUUUGACAUUGACAAGGUGGACAGAAUGUGGUGGUAUCCACCUCAGCAGUCGCUGACAUCCAGUGCCAUCCCAGCAAUGGAGCAGUUCUUUGGGCACCCUCUGUUCCUGUGGAUGCCCAGGAAGCUGUGGCAUGUGCGACUGCUCUGUCCACAUCAAGACUGUGGGAAGGCAGAGCUCACCUCUGCGGGACUCCAUCAGAGGGUCAGGCUGGUGGUUGGUGUCAGCGGCUCUUACUACCUGGUAGCCGAAUACCUUGCAUGUAAGAGUUGCAAAAGGAAGGUCAUCAGCUGGAGCCACAACAUCGUCUCUCAGCUAGACAUUGGUCACUGCCUGCAUUUCCCAUGUCUGCUGACAUACAAGCUGGGGUGCGACAUGCAGGUUGUGCGCAUGAUACGUCAGCG
rnacentral:lncRNA from 1 species